rnacentral:rRNA from 1 species
UACGGGGGGGGCAAGCGUUGUUCGGAAUUACUGGGCGUAAAGGGUCUGUAGGUGGCCAACUAAGUCAGACGUGAAAUCCCUCAGCUUAACUGGGGAACUGCGUCUGAUACUGGUUGGCUUGAGUGCAGGAGAGGAAUGCGGAAUUCCUGGUGGAGCGGUGAAAUGCGCAGAGAUCAGGAGGAACACCCGUAGCGAAGGCGGCACUCUGGGCCGAUACUGACACUGAGGAGCGAAAGCGUGGGGAGCGAACAGG